GUGCUCACUUCAGCAGCACAUAUACUAAAAUUGGAAUAAUACAGAGAAGAUUAGUAUACCCCUGCGCAAGGAUGACAUGCAAAUUUGUGAAGUGUUUCAUAUGUGU
ensembl:snRNA U6 U6 spliceosomal RNA